ensembl:lncRNA
CAGGAAGAGGAUUAAGGGUUUUGUUUUCCUCAACUGAGGCGUGGGUCUGAAGUGUUGGAAUGCUCAGGAUGUCAAUGGCUGUCAGAUGUCAGGAUAACCGAGAAGAUAAAUGAAUGGUUGAGACCCCGUGGCCUCCUCCCAGAAUUCUCAGCUGCUCCGCUGUGGAAAUGGUAUGUUUACUUUCUGUGUCUCCUUCAACAGUCUCUCUGAAGCCAAUCUUACGGUCCUGUGACUGGGCAACAAGCAAGUUCUUCUAGAACUUGGUGAGCAGAAUUUUUAUUUAGGAGCGUAGCUGUCUGUGUCUUUGUAGUUGAUAUCCUGUUAUCUAUGAAUUAAUUGUGUGAACUUUCUGAGGUUUGUGCUGUCUGGUAUAAUAAUUAAUGUGCAAUACUUCUCUUAAGAAGUUUAUUUGCUUGCAGUUAAGGACAUAGGGACAGUUUAUUUUGAGUCCUAAUUUUUACAUUGCCAAGUCUUCUAAUUUGUUCUCUAAGAUUUCUUUUGGGAAUUUCAUUUUUUUUCUUUGAGAAUUUGUGGAAACACAUUUGUCCUUGAAUUUUAUGUAUUUUAUAUUUUCAAAUUUUAUGUUUCAUGACUAAAUCCUAUUUCAUAUCUUAUUGUAAUGUGUUUAUGUUUUAGGCCUUCUAGAACAUUAAUAUUUUGGGUAUAUUACUCUAAAACCACGAAUUAGACUUUGCAUAUUUUCUUGAAGGUUACAAAAAAUCGUUCUUAAAAAUCAGAGAAAGGUAUAUAUAGACUUUGUUUACAAGCUCUGAAAGUGUUUUCUGGCUUUGGGUCACUCCUGACUUAGUGCAUUAAUAAAAAAGAACAACUUGUACUCUUAGCUAGUUAGCUUCUAGAAAGAAUGGGAAAGACAUUAAUCAUUGAUGAUCACAUAACUUACAUUGACCGUUGUCCCCCAGAUAUGUCUUUUGUGGGUCAGUGGAAGGCAGGUUUGAUUAUAUAGCAGAUAUUUUUCUGCAGGUGUGUUUCAUGGACAGCCAUAUAAGCAAUUCUAAAGUAGCAACUUUCCAUGAAGUGAACUCAAAAGUGUUCUUACUUAUGGAUUGAAUAGCUGCUAGUGUAAAAAUGGCAGAUCAUUCUGACUCUCAACUCUAUUUUGCAAACCUUGGGUCUGAAUUAGAUACGUUUCUUGACUGGGAAAAGGUCACUGGCUUUUUGUCUCUGGAGAACGGUUGUGUGCCAUGAUUGCUUACUGCUGGCUGAUUAUUAUAAAAGGGUAUAUAUCUGUGUCCCUCACUGGUUGGAGGGAAUCUGGAUCACAUGGAGACAAACAAGCCACCUGCCUUCUUCUCAGGUGUAGCCAAACAAUACAAGUGGAUUUGUGGAUCUGUGAGACUCCUGUGAGCCUGUCAGGGGGGAGCGAGAAAUCUCUCUAAGUGAUGUACUCCAGAAGCACUAAUUAUAUGAAACUGGAGCUUUCAGGAAAGGGGAACACCAGCUUUACAGUGGACUGAUCUGAUAGUUUAGAAAAGAAAUCAAGCACUGGAGGAUAGCAAAACAACUUCUCCUGGGAAGAAAAACAGAAUGACAUGCUCCAGACAGAGUCUCAUAUAUGCCAGGCUGGCUGAUUAUGGCUACUACUCAUUAUGUAGUUGGAGGACAUGGAACUGCUAAUUCCCUUUCCCUGCCUCCCAAUUGCUGCGAUUUCAGGUAUGGGCUCACAAUUCCCUUUAUGAGAUGGUGCACAUCAAAACCUGGGAUUCAUGCACACAUGCUAAGUAAUCUGCUCUACCAAGUGAGUUAUACCUCAGCUCCCAUAAGCUUUUCCUAAAAGAGCAGAAUAGGGUGAACUCUAGUUUGUGUCCUUUACAAAUAGACCACGUGCAAAAUGAGAUAGCAUUUAAGUUAGGUGCUUUGUAAAUGGUUAAAUAUGUGAUGUGCCCAGAGACCUUUGUCACAGAAGCACUACCAUAUGAAUGAAGAAAUGACAAAAAACUGGCAAUGGAAGGGACAUAUGAGACAACUUGGCUGCACUCACCAAGGACCAGGGCAUGACCUUCUAGAAGUACACUGCUUUGCCCUUCAGUGCUUCUAAGGUUUAAAAGUGUGAUGAGGACAACUUUCGGCAUUUUUUAUUAUUCUUAUUUAUUGUCUUCAAAAAGUUCAAGUAUGAAUUUUAUACUUUCUAAUUUUUGUAGUAAAUUCAAAAUUUUGGGGCAUAGAAUACUAAGGCACAGAGGACAUGUUCUUUGCCCUCCCAUAAACUCACUGAUCUGUAGGCUGAGGCAACCAAUCUAACAGGUCACAUAUCCUGGAAUACAGAAUGAGUCUCUGUCUAGACAAAAGAAAACUGCCAUCGCCACAAAAUAGACUAAUAAUCAUCCUAUCAUGUUUAAAAUGUGAUUUCAUUAAGAUAGUUUCAAUUUGUCUACAAUUCACUUAGAUACCAGUUUUGUCCUUUCUGGAAAGUUUGUGCUUAUCUAUUUGGGCUGCAGUCAAUGCCAUCCUAAAGGGCACCUGCUUCCUCUGGUUCUGAGAAGCUGAGAAAUGAUGUAAUAAAAUCAGCUUUUGAUACAGUAGUUCCAUGAUUUAGAACCUUGAACAUCAAGUGAGUAAACCCUUCUUUCUAAGAUGCGAUUUUUGAGAGUGAAGCAUAAAGUAGCAGGAUUGGAUUACUGUCUUUUAGACUUACCUAUUCACUAAAUGAGUUGUAUGGUGUCUUUUCUAGGCAACGUAGACUAUUGCUAGAUUCUCUCAGCCCCUUAUAACUGAGCAGUAUCUUUUCAUAAAUCCUCAGCUUUGCUAAUAUAGACUAAGACCUUCUGAUGUAACUGAUAAACAAAACCAAAACAUUAAUAAUGAAGACAUAGAAAGCAUCUGCACAGUUUUCCUGUACUGUUCCUAUAGACAUUGGAAUAAGCCGCUGACAGAAUAAGGAUUCAAACAAGCAAUAGAGGUCCUUAAGAGAGCAGCAUAAAUGAGGAUGGGGGCAGAGUCGUUUGCUCCCCAUCCUGAUCAAAUGUGUGGCUUCCUUUUACAAUGCUAGAGGACUUCAUUGGACAAUGGAAGGUAAGCAGUGUUGACUAAGUCUGUGUUCUGUGUCAUGAGACUUGUGUGCACACGCAUUCUGAGAUGUACAGUGUUUUUCAGAAUAGGUGCUUCUGGCUGAAAUCAUAGUCUCAUUAAGGCCUUUGCAGCCUCACUUGCUGGAAUCAGCAGUAUUUCAGGAAGCAGCACCCACUAAAUAGAUUCUUUCUCAUUUCAAACUGUAAGUAAAGUUUUUCGAAUCUGAAAUGUUCGCUGAGGACCAUGACUGGUUAGAAUAAAUUAAUUGUUUGAAUAAUUUAAGAAUGAGGUUCUUCGAUCUCAUGUUUCAUAGUCUUUGAAAAGUAUAUAUGUACGCUAUCCAUAAAGUACAGAGAUCUGUGAAAUAUUGUUGAAUAAAAUAUGGAGUUAGUUGUCAUUAGAGAAUUACUUAUCUCAGUACCCUUGGUCAUAGGUGCUUGCUCGCUGGCGCUCUCUCUCUCUCUCUCUCUCUCUCUCUCUCUCUCUCUCUCUCUCUGUCUUUCUGAUUUUAUAGAUAUUUAUUCAUUUAUUUUCAUUUUUGCAUCCAAUCAAAAUUAGCUCACGAUUUACUAGAAAAAUGCUCUACAAAUUUUAUGUGCUUGUUAUUGGCAACUCAUAGUUACUGAACAUUCUCCAUUGGUUCUGUCCACAAGUUCAUUCAUUAGGCCAGCAAUGUCUGGGUCCUUUUUCUCCCCUUGCAUGUAAGACAUAGACAAUUUUCUUCUGUGUUCAGUUUUCUAUAGACUCCUUUUGUUAUCUGUACCUUUCUAAAGUUAAAAUCAAUGAAAACACUGAAAUCACUCUUUCCUACUGUCUAUCAAAAGAUAUUCUUGGGAAUUCACUGCUUUUUCUCAUGUCUGGUUGUGACUUUUCUUGCUUUUAUUUUAUAAGUGACCACCGUUUGUAUAAUCAAUGGUCUUUCUGGCUUGGCCACAUUCUCUUCAACAUUUUUUCUGGGUGCAGUAGCUGUGGCUGACUAGUGAAAGAUCCCCAACUACCGUCUAUUUCUUAUUUUCUUUCUUGGUUUCCUUGUAACUCCACUGGAAGACAACACUAAGUUUAUUCCUUCUGUCUUCUAUGCUUUUGUGUAUAGCAUCCUUGCCUUGCAGCUUAUGACGGUGUUGUUGGAAACAUUGUUUUAUCAACCAACACCAGGAAACCGAAGGAUAAGCAAGGCAAAAGAAAAUCUUUGUACUGGAGGGUAAAAAUAAAAUACUUGACCAUAAUCAUCCUAUUUUCUUCCCUAAACCAUUAAUAUUCCUUUUGAGUGUCCACGAUGAAUUUUGUCUUCUCAAAUCUCCCAUGCACAGUUUCUGUACAUAGUAACAGGGAGCAUUUCUGAAGCAGAAGUUCUGUAGAGUAAACAAAAGCAAUUCAACCAAUCUGAAUGGUCUUUCAUUGAAAGAGAAGGCUUAGUUGUUAUUUCCAUGGUGCAGAAACAAAUCUUGGUUUGUUUUAUAAGACUUAGAGAUAGAAAUCUACUUCCAACUCUUUUGUAAUGCUUACAUUUUGCUUUCCUACAAAUUCAUCAAAUAGUGGUAGUAGGAAUGAUUCUGCACACAGUUAUAAAUCAAUGUCUACUGACUUUUGCAAUGAACUAGGACUAAUAGACAUUUUAAGUGCUCACUGUGGGGAGAUUGUCAUCCCCUUUCCAGUUUUCACAUUAUCUGGGCCUAUCUCUUCACACUAACUCAUCUCCUAAGGGAACUUAUUCAAGAUCAUUGUUUGAUCUGCAUCUUAAGCUCUAACCACUUUCUAAAUGUUCUACUCAGGUAUCUCUAUGUCUAGUGUUUGAGUUUCAGAUGCUGCUGGCAUGCUGCAGGUCAACUUAAAACUGUAUGUUCUUUCAAUAUACAUGCUUGCCAUUCUCCAAUUUCAUGGUGACAAUGCUUCCAUUAAAAACAGAUGAGAAAUAGCCCCCUAAAUCUGUAUACCUUGUACCUAAUCUGUCCUAGGCAUCAGAAAAACAUCUGCAUAUAAAAUAUACUCUGUAAAUUCUUAUAUUGUAAAUAAAUAGAUAAAAUAUGCUUAUUUACUCACUUUGGAUAGUCACAAUGGAGUCUGAUAAUGAUUAUGCAAAUGAUAAGUAUUUAAUGAAAAUCAUUAUAAAUGAUUGAUUAAAGUACCCCCUUUUUAUUAACAUUUUAUAUAAACAUAAUCUGAGACCUUCCAAAGUCCUUGGGGUCUGUGAAUUUGGGCAAGUUAGUAAACACCUUUGUGAAUCUGCUUCUGUAUUAUAAAUCUGGACAAUAAAUGUUAUAGGGUAAUUCUAGAAAAUUAGUGAGUUAGUGUAGAUAUAUAUAUAUUGACUUUCAUGUAUUAAUUGAUCUAACAACCUAAGUACAAUUUUUACAUUGAUUUAAAAGUACCAAAUAUUAAUGCUAUUUUAUGUAAGCCUUUUUAUUUCAAAGUGUUAAAAACAAACCUAUCAUAAAUUCAAUUAAAACUUUA